AUGCUGUUCUCCAGUCUACUGAGGGCAAUCAUAGCCUCCAUCUGCCUUGGAUCCAGCAUGACUCAGAAGGUAACUCAAGCCCAAUCUGGAAUUUCUAAACUGGAGAAGAAAUCACUAACCUUGGAUUGUGCAUAUGAAGCUAGUAUUUCAAGUUUUUAUGUAGUCUGGUACAAGCAAGUACCAAGUAGGGAAAUGACUUUUCUUAUUCAUCAGGAGUUUCACAAUAAGCAGAAUGCUACAGCGGGUCGGUAUUCUCUGAAUCUCCAGCAAGCAGCCAAAGUCAUCAGCCUCACCAUCACAGCCUUACAGCUUGAGGAUUCAACAGUAUAUUUCUGUGCUCUGAGAAAUAUCUCAGUGAGAUGGGCGACUGCAGGAAUCCUACAGAAACCUCAGAACUCUCCAUGA